rnacentral:rRNA from 1 species
CCUACGGGUGGCAGCAGUGGGGAAUAUUGGGCAAUGGAGGCAACUCUGACCCAGCAACGCCGCGUGAAUGAUGAAGGUCUUCGGAUUGUAAAGUUCUGUGAUGGGGGAUGAACACAAUGACGGUACCCCAAUAGCAAGCCACGGCUAACUACGUGCAAGCAGCCGCGGUAAUACGUAGGUGGCAAGCGUUAACCGGAAUGACUGGGCGUAAAGGGUGCGUAGGUGGUUUAGUAAGUUGGCGGUGUAAUUCCGGGGCUCAACCUGGGCACUACCGCCGAAACUGUCAGACUAGAGUGCAGUAGAGGUGGGUAGAAUUCCAGGUGUAGCGGGGAAAUGCGGAGAGAUAUGGAGGAAUACCGGUGGCGAAGGCGGCCCCCUGGACAAAAACUGACGCUCAGGUGCGAAAGCGUGGGGAGCAAACAGGAUUAGAUACCCUUGUAGUC